UACGGGGGGAGCAAGCGUUGUUCGGAUUUACUGGGCGUAAAGGGCGCGUAGGCGGCGCAACAAGUCACUUGUGAAAUCUCCGGGCUUGACCCGGAGCGGUCAAGUGAUACUGUCGUGCUAGAGUGCGGAAGGGGCUACUGGAAUUCUCGGUGUGGCGGUGAAAUGCGUAGAUAUCGAGAGGAACACCUGCGGCGAAGGCGGGUAGCUGGGCCGACACUGACGCUGAUGCGCGAAAGCCAGGGGAGCAAACGGG
rnacentral:rRNA from 1 species